CUUCAGGCCAACAAACACUCCUCGAGGAGAUUUAGACAAAUACAGUAGAGACAACUGUUUAAAGAGACCAGGGUGGCUGACGGUUUUUCACCUUUCAACUAUUCAAUGGAAAAAAAGAGACAAUCGAGUCCAAAAUAAAAGGAUAAACAGAGAUUUGUCUCAUCAUUGGAUUAAAACAAAGAGUGAAGUCCCAGUGUAACCCCUGGUCAAAAAGUCAAACCCUUUUCAAGUUAGGGGAGAAAACCAAGAAACAAAACAUAACUUGACACCAAGACAAACUGAAGUCAUGGCAGAUGGAGCGAAUCAUCUGACGUAACAUCUGAACUCAGCAUAAAACAGGAGUGGCGAGUCUGGUAGAAAUGUUGGCAACAAGACAUCCAAACACAGAUGGACAGGACAUGUUGAUCAUCAGAAACACCAACUGGAGUCCUUGUGAACACAGAAGACCAAAAACAAGAUUGAGAGAUGAGUUUACGCAACACAAACGCUACGCCUCACUUGGCAGAGACCGGCUCGAGAUAAACGAGCCAUAUUGUGGAGGGGGGCGUGGCCCGCGGGCCUGCAGCGGAACGGGGUGUGCCAGGACCGGCCUCGAAGUCAGCGACAGCAACCGGGAGGAGAGACGGUGUUGGAGCUGGGGGAGAGCGAGAGCAAGACGGACAGCCACAAAAAGACAAUUGCUGAAAAGCAACACAGAGACCCAUCCAUUCAUCCAUCCAUUUUCUACCGCUUAUUCCCUUUGGGGUCGCGGGGGGCGCUGGAGACUAUCUCAGCUACAAUCGGGCGGAAGGCGGGGUUCACCCAGGACAAGUCGCCACAGGGCCAAUACAGAUAGACAACAUUCACACUCACAUUCACACACUAGGGCAGAGACUUCAUUGGAAAAAUAAAACUGUAUUGUGAACCUGAACCGGGCUCUCAUGUCGGUGUUUGGUGGUCCAAAGAACCCCCUGGAGGGCAACCUCCACACAUAUGUAAUAAUUUCAUGUCAAGUCAUCAUUAAAUGGCCCUGAUAUGUCAAAAGGCAUUAAUAAAUCAUGUUCUUGUAAAAUAUCUCUAUAACUGAUAACGGUAGUUCAGCCGGGAUAUGCUCAUUUCAAAAUUAGAUUUACAGCCCCGAAAUAUUGUUAUUGUUUACAUUUGUUGCCCUGCACCGUUUGACCAAUUAGAAAGUCCGUGAGUGUGUGUGUCACAUCCAGGUUGCCAGUUAGGCACCGCCAUCUUCGUCUGGUUACUGCCACUGGUAAAGUUACUAAACAUGUCAGACCUUAGUAAAUCUCAAAGACGUCGUUACGGUUCUCAACU